CGCGUAGGCGGCCGAUCAAGUCGGAGGUGAAAUCCCUCGGCUCAACUGAGAAUUGCCUUCGAUACUGUUCGGCUUGAGUCCUGGAGAGGGUAGCGGAAUUCCCGGUGUAGCGGUGAAAUGCGUGAGACCGGGAAGAACACCAGUGGCGAAGGCGGCUACCUGGACAGGUACUGACGCUGAAGCGCGAAAGCUAGGGGAGCAAACA
rnacentral:rRNA from 1 species